rnacentral:rRNA from 1 species
GGGUGACGUGUCGGAUAUUGGGCGUAAAGGGCUCGCAGGCGGUUUCUUAAGUCUGAUGUGAAAGCCCCCGGCUCAACCGGGGAGGGUCAUUGGAAACUGGGAAACUUGAGUGCAGAAGAGGAGAGUGGAAUUCCACGUGUAGCGGUGAAAUGCGUAGAGAUGUGGAGGAACACCAGUGGCGAAGGCGACUCUCUGGUCUGUAACUGACGCUGAGGAGCGAAAGCGUGGGGAGCGAACAGGAUUAGAUACCCUGGUAGUCCACGCCGUAAACGAUGAGUGCUAAGUGUUAGGGGGUUUCCGCCCCUUAGUGCUGCAGCUAACGCAUUAAGCACUCCGCCUGGGGAGUACGGUCGCAAGACUGAAACUCAAAGGAAUUGACGGGGGCCCGCACAAGCGGUGGAGCAUGUGGUUUAAUUCGAAGCAACGCGAAGAACCUUACCAGGUCUUGACAUCCUCUGACAACCCUAGAGAUAGGGCUUUCCCUUCGGGGACAGAGUGACAGGUGGUGCAUGGUUGUCGUCAGCUCGUGUCGUGAGAUGUUGGGUUAAGUCCCGCAACGAGCGCAACCCUUGAUCUUAGUUGCCAGCAUUCAGUUGGGCACUCUAAGGUGACUGCCGGUGACAAACCGGAGGAAGGUGGGGAUGACGUCAAAUCAUCAUGCCCCUUAUGACCUGGGCUACACACGUGCUACAAUGGACAGAACAAAGGGCUGCGAGACCGCAAGGUUUAGCCAAUCCCAUAAAUCUGUUCUCAGUUCGGAUCGCAGUCUGCAACUCGACUGCGUGAAGCUGGAAUCGCUAGUAAUCGCGGAUCACCAUGCCGCGGGGGGAAAUACGUUCCCGGGGCCUUGUACACACCGCCCGUCACACCACCGAGAGUUUGCAACACCCGAAGUCCGGUGAGGUAACCUUUAUGGAGCCAGCCGCCGAAGGUGGGGCAGAUGAUUGGGGUGAUCAAAAAAAAAAAAACCACAAAAAAAAAAAAAAAAAGAAGUAUAACCCCCCGCGCUUUUUU